rnacentral:misc_RNA from 1 species
GAUGAAGAACGUAGCGAAAUGCGAUAAGUAAUGCGAAUUGCAUAAUUCAGUGAGUCAUCGAAUCUUUGAACGCACAUUGCGCCCUGUGGUAUUCCGCAGGGCAUGCCUGUUCGAGCGUCAUUUCAACCCUCAAGCUCUGCUUGGUGUUGGGCCCUGCCCGCUGCGGCCGGCCCUAAAGACAGUGGCGGUGCCGCCUGGCCCUGAGCGUAGUACAUCUCUCGCUCCAGUGCCCGGUGGUAGCCUGCCAGAACCCCAACUCUCGUGGUUGACCUCGGAUCAGGUAGGGAUACCCGCUGAACUUAAGCAUAUCAAUAAGCGGAGGA